rnacentral:rRNA from 1 species
AUUGAACGCUGGCGGCAGGCCUAACACAUGCAAGUCGAGCGGAUGAAGGGAGCUUGCUCCUGGAUUCAGCGGCGGACGGGUGAGUAAUGCCUAGGAAUCUGCCUGGUAGUGGGGGAUAACGUCCGGAAACGGGCGCUAAUACCGCAUACGUCCUGAGGGAGAAAGUGGGGGAUCUUCGGACCUCACGCUAUCAGAUGAGCCUAGGUCGGAUUAGCUAGUUGGUGGGGUAAAGGCCUACCAAGGCGACGAUCCGUAACUGGUCUGAGAGGAUGAUCAGUCACACUAGAACUGAGACACGGUCCAGACUCCUACGGGAGGCAGCAGUGGGGAAUAGUGGACAAUGGGCGAAAGCCUGAUCCAGCCAUGCCGCGUGUGUGAAGAAGGUCUUCGGAUUGUAAAGCACUUUAAGUUGGGAGGAAGGGCAGUAAGUUAAUACCUUGCUGUUUUGACGUUACCAACAGAAUAAGCACCGGCUAACUUCGUG